rnacentral:lncRNA from 1 species
CAUUGUUGCUAAAUGUGAACAAACAAAACUUAGCUUUGAACUCUUUAGGCAAACAUUCUGGACAUAAAUCUAAUAUCUUGAAUUAUUUUAAGUAACUGAAUACCCAUUUCACAGAUCACAGAAUUCUGAAAUAAAAGGAUCAUUUCCUCAAAGAAGUAACAUCUGGAUUCUGAAUGCUCUGAAAAUUUACCAAACUUUCCAGAAAUGGGAAAUGGCUGAUAAUUAAAAUACCUCAAAGGAGAAAUUUUCAAAGAAAAUUCAAGGUGAUGUUCCUUUGUGAUUAUAGGAUGAAGUCAACACAGUGACAUAGACCUGGAAUAGGACUAAAGUCAACUAGUUGCAUGA